rnacentral:piRNA from 1 species
UUUGUACACUGCAACAAGUAA